rnacentral:rRNA from 1 species
GACGAACGCUGGCGGCGUGCUUAACACAUGCAAGUCGAACGGAAAGGCCCUGCUUUUGUGGGGUGCUCGAGCGGCGAACGGGUGAGUAACACGUGAGUAACCUGCCCUUGACUUUGGGAUAACUUCAGGAAACUGGGGCUAAUACCGGAUAGGAGCUCCUGCUGCAUGGUGGGGGUUGGAAAGUUUCGGCGGUUGGGGAUGGACUCGCGGCUUAUCAGCUUGUUGGUGGGGUAGUGGCUUACCAAGGCUUUGACGGGUAGCCGGCCUGAGAGGGUGACCGGCCACAUUGGGACUGAGAUACGGCCCAGACUCCUACGGGAGGCAGCAGUGGUGAAUAUUGCACAAUGGGCGGAAGCCUGAUGCAGCAACGCCGCGUGCGGGAUGACGGCCCUCGGGUUGUAAACCGCUUUCGCCUGUGACGAAGCGUGAGUGACGGUAAUGGGUAAAGAAGCACCGGCUAACUACGUG